rnacentral:rRNA from 1 species
CGAAGGUCCCAAGCGUUAUCCGGAUUUAUUGGGUUUAAAGGGUGCGUAGGCGGGCUAUUAAGUCAGUGGUGAAAGCCCCAAGCUUAACUUGGGAACUGCCAUUGAUACUGAUGGUCUUGAGUACAUUUGAGGUGGGCGGAAUGUGUCAUGUAGCGGUGAAAUGCUUAGAUAUGACACAGAACACCGAUUGCGAAGGCAGCUCACUAAACUGUAACUGACGCUGAGGCACGAAGGCGUGGGGAGCAAACAGGAUUAGAUACCCUGGUAGUCCACGCCCUAAACGAUGAUCACUCGAUGUGUGCGAUAUACUGUACGCGUCUGAGCGAAAGCAUUAAGUGAUCCACCUGGGGAGUACGACCGCAAGGUUG